CAGAAGCAGGCGAGUUUGCUUAGGUAUCGAUUUUACGAUCGUGUCUCUGGCGGUUAGUGUGUCCGUUUCCUUAGUUUUUAGUGGCCGUGCUCGUCGUUGUUACAUGAAGAAUAAAAUCGUGAAUGGAAUUAUUAACUAUAAAUUGUUGUAAAUUAACUCUCCGUUGACUUGUCGCGUAACUCGUCAUUAAAUCAUGACUAAGGAUAGAUUAGCAGCCCUCGUAGCGGCUCAGUCGGAUGACGAUGAAGCGCCCGACGAGGUGUCCGUUAACGUGGGCGGGCAAGAAGAUUUCAUGACAGAAUUUUUUGCGGAAGUGGAGGAGAUCCGCGAAAUGAUUGACAAUAUCCAGACGAAUGUCGAGGAAGUGAAGAAGAAGCACAGCGCCAUCCUGUCGGCGCCCCAGACCGACGAGAAAGUCAAAAUGGAACUGGAGGAUCUCAUGGCUGACAUAAAGAAAACUGCAAACAAAGUUCGGGCAAAAUUAAAGGUGAUAGAACAGAAUAUCGAGCAGGAAGAGCAUACGAACAAAUCUUCCGCCGAUUUAAGGAUACGCAAAACUCAACAUUCGACAUUAUCAAGGAAGUUUGUCGAAGUUAUGACAGAGUACAAUCGGACGCAAACCGAUUACAGAGAACGAUGUAAGGGAAGAAUACAACGACAGCUUGAAAUCACGGGGAGAACUACCACUAAUGAAGAGCUCGAGGAAAUGCUUGAACAGGGAAAUCCUGCAGUAUUCACGCAAGGGAUUAUAAUGGAAACGCAACAAGCCAAACAGACCCUUGCUGAUAUUGAAGCACGUCAUGCUGACAUUAUAAAACUCGAAAAUUCAAUCAGGGAACUUCACGAUAUGUUUAUGGACAUGGCAAUGUUAGUCGAGAGUCAGGGCGAGAUGAUAGAUCGCAUAGAAUAUCACGUGGAGCACGCGGUCGACUAUGUCCAGACGGCCACGCAGGACACCAAAAAAGCACUCAAGUAUCAAAGCAAAGCCCGACGGAAAAUGAUCCUGAUAAUAGUCUGCCUGACAGUGGCGGUCAUCAUUUUAAUUGUUAUUUUGGUUGUCAAUUUGACAUAAAUUAUUAAUAUAUCACAGAAACAGUUAAACGAUCACCAACACACAAAUUUUUCAUCAUUCCUGCGCCUAAAGUUUUAAUUCUCGCCCUAUUUAGAAGGAAGAAAGUCCUUAUUUUUUUCUAUACGAAAGCAAAUGAUUAAAAUUAGCGCAUGCGCUAUUCUUCCCAGAGGGAAAAAUUUAAAGUUUCAGGUGUAGAUCUGGUGAAAAAUAUUAUGCAGACCGGAAGAAAGUAGGACGUCCCUAUGUGCGUAUUUGCCGCCUUUGGCUCGGGUAGACAUUUACACACACGGGUCAGAAUGUCCAACUUUCCUUCCUUGGUAUGUAAUAUGCUAUUAAAUUUAAAAAUUCAUUUUUACCUCGGUAGUUUUAUGGAGCUAAAAAGUUUUAGUUACGAAAAUUAAGAUGGAAUGACGUAAUAUUUAAGUUGAUUAUGAAUUCAUACCGCAAAGUUAUCGUCUGUAUAAUUAAGUAUUUAAGUUUUAACGUUUCUUGUAAUAUUAAUUUUAGUCUAUUUAUAUUUCAAAAUUAACUACAAGACGUUGGUACUUGAGGCUGCGGUAUAUUUUCUGUACAGUAUAACUUUAUAUUUUAUUUAAUACCUCAAACUCUAUUCAAGUCUUUCUUCUCGAGUUUAACUUGUCAUAACUGAUCGUCAUGACAAGGAAACACGCGAGGGAUCAUCAUAAUCCAUAAAAAUCUACUAUUGUAUUUUCCAUCACGAAAUCUUUCAUUUCUUCUUUUAAUUUCCAUUUUUUUCUUCUUUAAAAAAAAAACAAUUUACGCUCUUACGUCUUUAUUUUCGUUAAAACUUUUUUUAAAAAUUAAAAGGUAAAAAAUAAAAUAUAGUGAAUCUGAAAAAUAAAUAUAGUAAAUGUUAUACGUAAGAUACAUUUAUAUAUUUAUUUAUUAAAAAUUAUUUCUUCUAUAAAUUUAUUUAAAAUUGUAAAUAAAUUUAAUAAAUAUUUAAGUUUGAGGAAAAGAAAGAGAUUUUUAAAAAUCUAUAUUGUAUUGUAUAGGUACUUAUAUUAAUAAAAGUAUGAUUGUGUGAAUGAUAUUUACAUGAAUAAAAUAAAGCGAUAGAAAAAAAAAAAAAAAUGACAAAUUUAAUUGAGAUAAUCCUCAAUAUGUUCACAGCUAUCGCGCAAUACUCUAUAAUAAUAAAAUAGAAGUAAAUUCAGCAUAAAAAAGUAGGACUUAGAACACAAUAGCAAAGUAUUUGCGAAAAAAAAAUUGAUGCGCUUGGAAAAAUAACCAUCAAUGUUAAUUUAUUAUUUAUAAUUAAAAUUAUAAUGGCAAUUAAAAUGUACAGAAAUAUUAAUCAAUUUAAAAAUAGUAAUUGAAGAAAAACUUUAUGUACUAAAUUAAAUGAUCUAAUUGUUAAUAAUAAAUAAAUUAAGAGAAUGAAUGAUAGGAAAAAUGAAAUAUGAUAAAGUAUAGAAACAAUAAACGAUAAAUGAGAAAAAUGUAACCCAAGAACGACAAGAUAUUGUACAUAUUUUCAUUGUGUAAUGGGUCGAGGAUUUAUCUGAAAGAAGAUCAUGAUUAUGAUCUGCCUUGCUAUUCUUGCCGUCAUUGUUGCCACUACUAUUGGUGGAUACUUCGGACUGUGAACACCUAAAUUAGGAAAGUUCACUAACAACGAGAUUAAACGAAGAGUAACAAACGUCUGGUUAAUAAAGUGCGCUAUGUUCGUUGUCAAUACGUUGUAUCACACAUUCAAUAAUAAUAAUAAUAAUAAUAAUAAUAAUAAUAAAUCGUCUGGCACGUCGAUAAAUAACAAUUCACUGCUACAAUUUAAAUCAUACAGCAAGGUGAUCAUUACACCUCAUUAUCAUUAUAAUAUUCAUAACAAUAAUAAUAAUAAUAGUAAUAAUAAUAAUAAUAAUAAUAAUAAUAAUAAUAAUAAUAAUAAUAAUAAUAAUAAUAAUAAUAAUAAUAAUAAUAAUAAUAACAUUAUUCAUUUAAUCAUUAUCACAAUCACAAUCAGUAGAUCAUAAAAAUUAUAGAAACCAUUGCACCCUCAUUAAAUAUAAAAAUCGCUGCCCGUUACUUAAUUUAAUUUAACAGAAUUAAUUAAAAAAUAAACCCGUGAAAAAAAAAUAAUUUUUAUCUAUAGAAAUUAAAAUCCUUCAUAUUACUAAUAAAAAACUUGCAUAUAUAUUAUUUUAUAAAAUUAUAUAACUAAAAAUUGAUAAUUUUUAUUUAAAAAUAAAUUUCUAGAUUUCAUUUGAUCUUUUAAUACUAAUGCAGAUUUAAAAUUUCUAAAGUUUGAUAAAAAUUAUUUUUUUUUUCCGGAAUACCUCCCCUGUCUUACUCGAUGUCGUCUCAAAACCGGGUCUGAUUAAACAAAUAUAUAUUGAAUUUAACAACCAAUACUAUCUGCGUAAUCAAUAAAACAGAACAGUCAGAGCCAAUUAAAAUAAAUUAAUAGAUUAAUAUCGUUUUUAAGUGGAAGCUUAACAAUUAACGACGAUAACGAGUGACGGCAGAGUUCAAUAAACAUAAUUAGAGUAUUAUUAUUAUUAUGGAAAAAUGGUCCACCAAAAAAAAUAACAAUAACAAUAAAAAUAACCGUUUAGCUAUCGGUACUUUAUAAGUUAAUUGAAACAAAUGGAAAAAACUAGAUAAAUAAAGUCACUGAAAAUAAUAGAAAAUGGACGAUUAAUAUUAAAAGUAAUAGAAAAGAAUUUAAUUAUAAUUAUGAGGCAGAAUCACGUAUCGUAAAUAAUUAUAUAUAAAUAAAUAAAUGGAUAAAAUAUUUAAAAAAAAUAAUUGUCGAUUACAUGAACGUAAAGUUAAAUAGCAAAUGGAUUAAUGCAUUUUGCUGCAGCAAUAAUAAAUAUAAUAGGUGUUAUAUUGGAAGUAUUUAAAAGGUUAAUAAUCUCUUUAAUGAGUAAUAAUUAUCUUAUUACCCACUUAUUACGAUAAUUAUUUUGUUUUUAAAUAAAUAAUAAAUUUAUCAAUUUAUACACUUACAGUUACAUGUAACCCAUGUAUUUGACGGUGUAAUUAUUAAUAUUUAUUAUUAUUAUUGUAUUAAAUUAUAUAUGUAUAGUUAGGCAUCGCGAUAAUUAAUUCAUAAUGAGAGGUUCAAUUAUUAUUAUUAUUGUUAUUAUUAAGGAUAUUCUCAGACAGUGCCCUCCACUUUUUAAAUAUAUUCAAUGACAUUCAUUGUCAUGACCGUGUUCAAAUUUUGUUAAUUAGUUUAAGAAAAAGUUGAAGCAUUAAUUGGAAAAAGGACAACGCAGUUGCGAUUUCGCCACGAUAUGGAUUCGAAAAAAAAUUUAUCCGAAAAAUUUGACUUUAAUUAUAAUGUUUGACCCGAAGAUCCUGUGUAAAAAAAUUCGUUUUAAAAAGAUUCCAAAAAAGUUCGAUAUUUGGAACAUCUAAACUCGAGACAGAUUUGAAUUUCGAGUGGAACUUUUUUUGAACUUUUGUAAUUUUUAUAGUAAAAAAAAAGUUUAUGUAGAAUUAUAAGCAAAUUUCGAGUCAAAAAAAUAAUGUUUUUAUUUCAUUUUACCCUUGUUCCGAAAAAAGUUUCUAUUAGAAACCAAUAGAGUUUCAUAUACGAAUCAAAAAAAGUUCAAGAUUUGAGGUUUUUUAACUUUUUCGUAACCAGGAUAAGUGUAGUAAAAUUACGUUUUGAGAAAAAUCUUGAGAGUAUUCUUUUUUGACUCAAAUUUUGCUUAUAUAAAAUCCUAGAUAACUUUUUUUUUUACUAUCAAAAUUACAUAAGUUCAAAAAAAGUCACUCGGAGUUCCAAUGUGUCUCAAGUUCAAAAUUUCCACACGUCGAACUUUUUGAAACGAAUUUUCAUUCCUUGGAAUUUCACUGAAUUUUAUCAAACAAAUUUCGUUUGACUACCAAUUGAUAAGAACCGGAAGUAAUUUUUUUUGAAAUUUACAUCUCGGUAAACUUGUAACUUCAUUGUCCUUUUUUCAAUUAACGCUUUAACUUUUUUUUAAACUGAUUAAUGAAAUAUUAAUACGGCCAUGACAGUGAAAGUCAUUGAAUAUUUUUACAAAGUAGGAGGUAUUGUUCGAGAUUGUCCUUAAUAAUGAUAAUAAUUGGCAGCCUAUUUAAUUGGUAAUGAUAGCCAAUGACAAGUGAAAUGCAAUGUUGAUAAAAAAAUAA